rnacentral:misc_RNA from 1 species
UCUCAAAUGAUAUUUUUUCUCAAACUAAUCAAUGUGUUGUCCUGAUCCCAUGAGGAAUUAGAGAAACUGUUGAAGGUGAAGCCAACUUAGUUCGAUGAAAUUAAAGAAGGGAUUUAGCUGUUGAAAAAUUCGUGGGAAUGUUGGAUUGUAAGGAUGAAAGUGGUGGCACUGCAGGAGCAGGAGUAUAUCUUGCCUCAGGAA